UAGGUUAUUCAUUGAGCACAACUUAAAUCUGGCAUAAUGAAUGAGAUUGAUUUGGAAGAGUAAAUCUGCAAAUAUUUUCAUCUUCUAGCGUACUUUUACUUGUAUGUGAUGUUUAUGAGUUUAUGAGUAUGCUCAGGGAUGGGAGGGUUACUUUAAAAAUGUAUUCAUUCGCAACACUAAUUACCUUUUUAAAAA